rnacentral:rRNA from 1 species
UACGGAGGAUGCGAGCGUUAUCCGGAUUUAUUGGGUUUAAAGGGUGCGCAGGCGGCGUGUCAAGCAAGCGGUAAAAUAGCGGGGCUCAACCCCGUCGAGCCGUUUGAACUGGCGCGCUUGAGUUCAGGCGAGGUAGGCGGAAUUCCCGGUGUAGCGGUGAAAUGCGUAGAGAUCGGGAGGAACACCAGUGGCGAAGGCGGCCUACUGGGCUUUAACUGACGCUGAGGCACGAAAGCGUGGGUAGCAAACAGG